AACCUGCCUGUCCUGCACCCUGGCCUGUCCUCUGGAGGUUAUCUGAUGAGGGCCUAUUCUGAGGGAAGCCCUCCCUGACUGCAGGUGCCUCCUUAGACUCCUCCAUCCCGGUGCUGGAUCUGGCAUGACCUCUGAAGUGCCCGGUGUCCAGCCUGGCAGAGUGGACGACGAGAAACAGGUGUUAGUAGAGAAAAAAAGGGCAUGUGUACCUAUGGAGGCAGCGUGUGGGUGUGGGUCCACAGUGAAAGCAGGAGGUUAGACAGGAGUGUCCUGCCUAGGCCAGUGAGCAGCCGGGGGUGUGAAGCACCAAGGGAGAGUAGGAGGGAAAACAAGGUGGGGUCAGCAGUGCCAGGCCCUGCUCACUGAGCCCCCUUUGCUGGUGGGCAGCCUCUGGCUCUAGUCACUCCUUCAGGACAGCCUUGUCUCACCCACACUUCCCUGUCCCACAGCAGGGGGCCCAGGCCCCAGCUUCAGCAUCAAGCCACCCAGGACAUGCAUCUGGCCUUUUGGAAAAUAGCCUGGAGAAUGCAGAGGAGAGGCUGCAGUCAGGCUGGCUGUGGCUGGAAAGAACCUGCUGUGGAUGAAGUUGACCUGGGACCCACGUGACCUGAGUGAAAAGAGCUAUGGGUUUGCAGGGGACACCGGUGCCCUGCUGCAGGUGGUUCUAGAGCUAGGUAUCCUGCAUCGUGACUUGAGCAAGUCAUGAACCCACUCUGAGCCUCAGUUUCCCACUCUGUUUUUGGUGUUUGGUUUGGUUUGGUUU
rnacentral:lncRNA from 1 species